rnacentral:rRNA from 1 species
AUGGGGCGCAGCAGGCGCGAAACCUUUACACUGCACGAGAGUGCGAUAGGGGGACUCCAAGUGCGAGGGCAUACAGUCCUCGCUUUUGUACACCGUAAGGUGGUGUACGAAUAAGUGCUGGGCAAGACCGGUGCCAGCCGCCGCGGUAAUACCGGCAGCUCAAGUGAUGACCGAUUUUAUUGGGCCUAAAGCGUCCGUAGCCGGCCAGUCAAGUCCGUUGGGAAAUCGACGUGCUCAACGCGUCGGCGUCCAGCGGAAACUGACUGGCUUGGGGCCGGAAGAUCUGAGGGGUACGUCCGGGGUAGGAGUGAAAUCCCGUAAUCCUGGACGGACCGCCGGUGGCGAAAGCGCCUCAAAAAGACGGACCCGACGGUGAGGGACGAAAGCUAGGGUCUCGAACCGGAUUAGAUACCCGGGUAGUCCUAGCUGUAAACGAUGCUUGCUAGGUGUGCCGCAGGCUACGAGCCUGCGCUGUGCCGUAGGGAAGCCGAGAAGCGAGCCGCCUGGGAAGUACGUCUGCAAGGAUGAAACUUAAAGGAA